UACGUAGGGGCCUAGCGUUGUCCGGAAUUAUUGGGCGUAAAGAGCUCGUAGGCGGUUCAGCAAGUCGGAUGUGAAAUCUCCACGCUUAACGUGGAGGGGCCAUUCGAAACUGCCGUGACUCGAGUCCGGUAGGGGAGUGUGGAAUUCCCGGUGUAGCGGUGAAAUGCGCAGAUAUCGGGGAGGAACACCAGUAGCGAAGGCGGCACUCUGGGCCGGUACUGGACGCUGAGGAGCGAAAGCGUGGGGAGCGAACAGG
rnacentral:rRNA from 1 species